rnacentral:tRNA from 1 species
GGUAAAAUGGCUGAUUGAAGGCGAUAAAUUGUAAAUUUAUUUAUGAAAGUGUAUUUCUUUUACCA